AAUCACUUGUCUUUUAAAUGAAGACCUGUAUGAAUGGCAUCACGAGGGCUUAACUGUCUCCCCUCUCCAGUCAAUGAAAUUGACCUCCCCGUGCAGAGGCGGGGAUAUUUAUAUAAGACGAGAAGACCCUGUGGAGCUUUAGACCUAAAGUAAACCACGUUUAAUGUACUAGAAUUAAUAGCAAAAACUUAGUGGACAUUUAUUUAAGUGUCUUUGGUUGGGGCGACCACGGAGUAAAACAUAACCUCCAUGUGGACGGGGAUACUUUCCCUAAAACUCAGAGCCUCCACUCCAAGCAACAGAAAUUCUGACCUUACUGAUCCGGUACAACCGAUUAACGAACCCAGUUACCCCAGGGAUAACAGCGCAAUCCCCUCUCAGAGCUCAUAUCGACGAGGGGGUUUACGACCUCGAUGUUGGAUCAGGACAUCCUAGUGGUGCAGCCGCUA
rnacentral:rRNA from 1 species